ACCGCGCGCAACUCAAGGGCGCCUGUAUGAUAUACUGGAGCGUCAUACGUUCCAUUUAUUUCUGUGAACUCAUAGUUCCAGAAAUUGUUUAUUACCAUUAUUUAUUAAGUAAUUAUUUUUCUCUUCUAUAGGUUAGUACUGUUCUGAAUUACAAACUCAACAGUUUUAUAUUAUGACACUUGGUUACACAGUGACUUUAAAUCUUCGGAUUAGGGCAGAACGGCGACGAAAACGAAAAGUCAGACGUUGUUGGGUUAAACCAUGGCUGAAAAGAAGAGACAAAGGCAGGGGAAUAUAUUCACUGUUAAUGAAAGAACUGAGGCCCGAAGAUCCGCAAGAAUUUCGGAAUUUCUUUAGGAUGGACAUAGCCUGUUCCAAGAAGCUGCUGUCUAUGAUAGAAGAUUGAAUCAGAAAGUAUGAAACAGUCAUGAGGGAGGCUAUCUCACCUUCUCGAAGUGUGUUUCAGUGUGCAACGCGCCAGCCUCAUGGCAGAUGGCGGGCGAAGGCUGGCCGGCGCGUUAUGCAGGUGACACAGUUUUGCAACAAACGUCGGUAUGUGUGUACGUGCACGGCAGCCAUCAACAACCAGAAUGCAGCAUUAGCAGAAUUACGCAGGCACGGGCUGUGUGUGGCGCGGUUGCAAACUCAUCGAGAACCUUCUAACAAACAUGGCACUGUGUAACCAGGGGAUUCAGUAGUGGUCUGCACUAUUUAAGGGCAUCAGAGGUGGGCGUCGGCAAUUGGUUUGACGGAUUGGGCAUUCAGUCGCUGUUACGUCGUCGUCGUCAUCAGUGCCGCUGUCCCCGAGGACUGGCUGGCAGAGGUUGUUGCCUGCUGCUGCACCGGUGACGUCAUGAGCUGCUGCGUCUGCAGGAGGUGGGCUGGGCUGGGCCUCAUGCUGCUAACUUCCUACCGCCUGCGCAGCCGCUGAGCAAGCAUGGCGUCAUGUUCACUGGACUGUGUGCAUCACCAAGUCUCCACCACGACAGGAGUGGUGGGGCUGAGCUACCGAAAAAUGUAUUGGGAGAACCAAGA